rnacentral:rRNA from 1 species
UACGUAGGUGGCGAGCGUUGUCCGGAUUUACUGGGCGUAAAGGGAGCGUAGGCGGACUUUUAAGUGAGAUGUGAAAUACUCGGGCUCAACUUGAGCGCUGCAUUUCAAACUGGAAGUCUAGAGUGCAGGAGAGGAGAGUGGAAUUCCUAGUGUAGCGGUGAGAUGCGUAGAGAUUAGGAAGAACACCAGUGGCGAAGGCGAUUCUCUGGACUGUAACUGACGCUGAGGCUCGAAAGCGUGGGGAGCAAACAGG